rnacentral:lncRNA from 1 species
GCUCAGACAGAAAGCUCACACGUGUGAGGUCUUCUGGAUGAGGUAUGCCAGUAGAUUGAAAUAUGUUAGCUUCACUAACGUCUUCCCCUCUACUCUUCACAGCUCUCUACUGGUAAAAGGCUAGACAUAUUCUGAAUUUAACAUAAAGGAUGAUUUUAGGGGCGGGGGAGUGGAUGCUCAAGGAAGCAUGGGGUUGAGGUUCCUCAUCUAUUUCCACUCGGAUGGGGUUCCUUGAAAGUUCUUGCACGGAAACAGCAGACACAUCACAGCCCAUGAAACUAUGCCCGCUUCCUGCCUGAGAGUUCAGUCAUGACGACCCCAUAUUUUAUACAUAGAUUUAGAGCUGGUACCACUGCAACAGUAAGAGAGGCAGUUGCACUGCCUUUGAUAUUAGUUUAAUACGAGAACUGAGCUGUUAGAAAUGGAGGCGUGCCCUGAAACAGUUUGGAAUAGAUUGGUUUAUUUUUCCAAUUGCUUUUACAUUUGCUUCUUGCUUAGUCUAGGGCAUGGCUACCAUAUACGUGGAGGCCAGAGGGCAGUUUGUGCAAGUUGUUUUUCUCCUUCCAUCAUGUGGAUACCAGGGAUUGAAUUUAGGUCAUUGAGCCUGGCAGCAAGUUCUUCUAUUGGCUGAGCCAGCUCCAUGACCAGGAAUAGAUUAAUGUACUUGCUAAUUGUUCACCUGUGGUCUGGUCUUUCCUUUAUGGUGACCAAUUGGAAACUAGAAAAGAAAAUAAUCUAAUAUGGUAACCAACUAGAAACUCUGCCUAAGAUCUAUUGUUGCUUACAUUUCCUAAUUAAUAAUGUAGAUUACAUUUACUAACUAGAAAUUAAUAAUGGAUAAGACUGUGGUUUACUGCAUUGAUAAAUUAGUUAUAUUUUGGGUUGGCAUAAGAAAACACAUCACUGAGGACCAUAGUUAAAGAGAAAUCUUAUCAUUGAAACUUUAGCCUUGGGCCAUUCUCCCAUUUGAAAUAAUUGCUUUUACAAUAACCUUUUGUAAUCCAAGGCUUCUUAGGAAUGUGAUUGGUACAACAUAGCAAGAGAGAUUGUUGCUUUUAACCAAACAAGAGCAGAUAAAAAUAAGAAUAGAUCAUAAUAAAUUAAAAAAAAAUACAGUAAGUAAAAUUUCUGUAGAUAUCAGAGGUGCCCAGGGGAAAAUGUCUGAGUUGUUCCUAGAAAAAUUAAUAAAAGUUAAAAUAAAAAAGAACGUAGUUAUGUGUUUCAAGGUACAAUGUGUGCCUCCUCUGGACAGCAAACAUUACUUUCCUACCACUCUACCACUAACGGGGUAUUGACAAAGUAUUGUGUCAUAUAUACUAGUAGUAUUUUAUUUGAAUGUGUCUUGAAUUUCUGAGUAAAAUAAAGGGUUCUCCCCUUAAAAAAAAAAAUGAAGCAGACAAACUAGAAUAAAAUAAUGAAAAUUGUAACAGAAGAAAUCAGUUUAUGCAUAAAAUCUGUGCUGAUGGAAGACGGGGUGCUGACUAGAGAGAUUGCUCAGUGGUUAGAAACACUUGCUGCUUCUCCAGAGGACUAGAGUUCUGUUUCCAGCAUCAUGUCAGGCAGCUCACAACUCCCUGUAACUUCAACCCCAGGAGAUCCAACACCUGGUCUCCAAGGGUACCUGCACUCAUAUGUACAUAUACCCUACAUAUAUACAUAAUUACAUAUAUGUAAUUAAAAAUAUAAAUAAAUCUUGCAUCUUUUUGUGUUUUGUUUGUUUGUUUGUUGAGACAGGGUCUCUUUAUAGUACUGGCUGUCCUGAAACUUACUACGUAGACCAGGCUGCUCUCAAACUCACAGAGAUCCACCUGUCUCAGCCUCUUGAGAACUAAAGGCAUGCAACGUCACACCCAGCCUUAGAAUAACUCUUUUAAAGAAACUGCUAACAUUGUUAGGUUCUUUAUAGCAAAAUGAAGGACUGCAGAUGAAUGCCUUUCAUAGGAAGUAAAUUGUAAAUUUCUAGAACAAAAGCAUCCCUGCAAGUGCAUGGUGGGGGGUGGGACAUGCAUAGCUCCUGAAAUGUGGUUGUUUGGCUUGUUUGGCAGGGCUGAGGUAGAAAAUAGGUCCCUGUGCAUACCAGGUAUCCUGGCUGGUUUGGUGUCAGCUUGACUCUAGUUAGUGUCAUCAGAGAGGAAGGAGCCUCCAGUUGAAAAAAAAAAAUGCCUUCAUCUCAAUUCUUGAUCAGUAGGGGAAGGUCCUGCCCUUGGUGGGUGGUGUCACCCCUGGGCUGGUGGUCCUGGGUUCUAUAAGGAAACAAGCUGAGCUAGCCAUAGGAAGCAAACCAGUAAGCAGCACCUCCAAGCCCCAUCGCUUUUGCAUCAGUUUCUACUGUGAGUAAGGUUCCCACCCUACCUGGGCUCUGGUCCUAACUUCCUCCAAUGUUAGACUAUGAUCUAGAAGUCUAAGCCAAAUAAACCCUUUCCUCCCCAUCUUGCCUUUUGGCCAUGGUGUUUCACCAUAGCAAUAGAAAGCCCAACUAAAACACUGGGCAAGUGCUCCAUCACUGAGCUAAGACCCACUUCGUUGGUUCUCUGGGACAGGCUUAGGUUGUCUCAAAGCCACUAUACAGCACAACUGUCCUCAAACUCUUAAUCCUCCUGCCUCAGCUGCCCUGCUUGUCCCAGGUAACAGAUGGUAAGUAUGCACCACUGUGCCCAGCUUGUCAUCAGGCUUCUUAAAAGAUCAAAACCUCUUUCUCUCAAAGACCUGAGGUAACCUUCCCGGCAAUUACAGGAGAAACCAGCUUGAUUCUGCAGGCUUCACGCCCAUUUUCAGCCUAUCUGAAAGCAGCUAAAGAAACUCACUACAUCUCCCGAGUAUCAGAAAACAGCCACUGGGAGCUGGUUAUGCAAAAAUUGGAGUGAAGUGUUGUCCAUAACUUGGUGGGGGAGGGGAGGGCAGUGUCGGAGGACAGUGAAACAAUUCAAGAAUGGGAAACUUCAUUUUAAAAGAUGAGGGCGAAGGCAGAGAGUAGUAAGUGGAUCAGGCAAAAUGACGUCACAGUGGGUUAAGAGCUGGUGCCAUGAGUGAAGGGCAGUGUGUUUAGUGUAGUUCUGAACAGGAGGCUGUUAACUAAUAACCACAGUGCAGAGAGGGGAAGCAGCCUGCAAUCGGCGUUGUAAGUGUUCAGUCACUAGACAGCAACGCACUUUACGGUACUUGAUGACCAUCCCGUGUUGGCACUGGCAGAAUUGAAAACCUGUUGUUUGUUUUCCUUAAUAAAUACAGGAGACGAAUUAAAUAAAACACAGUCC